UACGGAGGGUGCGAGCGUUGUCCGGAAUCAUUGGGCGUAAAGGGCGCGUAGGUGGCGCGACAAGCGUGCGGUGAAAGCUCGGGGCUCAACCCCGAGUCGGCCGUGCGAACUGUUGUGCUUGAGCACUGUAGAGGCAGGCGGAAUUCCGGGGUGUAGCGGUGGAAUGCGUAGAGAUCAUGAGGAAGACCAGUGGCGAAGGCGGGUCUCUGGGACAGUUCCUGACACUGAGG
rnacentral:rRNA from 1 species